GACGAACGCUGGCGGCGUGCUUAACACAUGCAAGUCGAACGGAAAGGCCCUGCUUUUGUGGGGUGCUCGAGUGGCGAACGGGUGAGUAACACGUGAGUAACCUGCCCUUUACUUUGGGAUAACUUCAGGAAACUGGGGCUAAUACCGGAUAGGAGCUCCUGCUGCAUGGUGGGGGUUGGAAAGUUUCGGCGGUUGGGGAUGUACUCGCGGCUUAUCAGCUUGUUGGUGGGGUAGUGGCUUACCAAGGCUUUGACGGGUAGCCGGCCUGGGAGGGUGACCGGCCACAAUGGGACUGAGAUACGGCGCAGACUCGUACGGGAGGCAGCAGUGGGGAAUAUUGCAGAAUGGGCGGAAGCCUGAUGCAGCAGCGCCGCGUGCGGGAUGACGGCCUUCGGGUUGUAAACCGCUUUCGCCUGUGACGAAGCGUGAGUGACGGUAAUGGGUAAAGAAGCACCGGCUAACUACGUG
rnacentral:rRNA from 1 species